rnacentral:tRNA from 1 species
GUCGUGUUAGUGUAGUGGUUUAACACAUCAGGCCCCCAACGUUUGGCAUUUUCGUGAGAGUGUGGUUGGCCCCCCCCCCCCCCCCCCCUUCCCCCGGCAGUGUUGGCGACGGAGGUACCUGAAGGCAGGAGUUCGAAUCUCCUACACGACA